UACAGAGGUCUCAAGCGUUGUUCGGAUUCAUUGGGCGUAAAGGGUGCGUAGGCGGCGCGGUAAGUCGGGUGUGAAAUCUCGGAGCUUAACUCCGAAACUGCAUUCGAUACUGAGGAUCUUGAGUUCGGGAGAGGUGAGUGGAACUGCGAGUGUAGAGGUGAAAUUCGUAGAUAUUCGCAAGAACACCAGUGGCGAAGGCGGCUCACUGGCCCGAUACUGACGUGAGGAGCGAAA
rnacentral:rRNA from 1 species